CUGCCAGCACAUGCAGGCGCUAGCCCUGCAAUGUGCCUGUGGACCGGAGGGGAGAUCAGAGCUCUCCCUCCCCGGUCCGCAGGCACUGUGCUGGCAGCCGGCAGGGGAGGGAGAGGGAGGACCCGGGAGCUCAGUCUGCAGCUCCUCCGGAUCCUCCUCUCGCGAGAUUUGGAGCGUUGCCGCGGUUACCACGACAACGCUCCAAAUCUCGCGAGAGUGAACUCUAGCCCGGGAGCGCGGGCUAGAGUUCACUCCAACCACUGGGACCACCAGGGAAUCACCACUGGGACCACCAGGGAUGAAAAUAUGUCCCCCCUCCUC